rnacentral:sRNA from 1 species
AUUGUUAACAAAUAUGUUUAUGCUAAUUUUAAGGGAUUGAUUUGAAGUUUGGUGGGAUUAAAUUUGAUUGAUAAUGUGAUUGACAAUUUAAAUCA